UACGUAGGUGGCAAGCGUUAAUCGGAAUUACUGGGCGUAAAGCGUGCGCAGGCGGUUUUGUAAGACAGAGGUGAAAUCCCCGGGCUCAACCUGGGAACUGCCUUUGUGACUGCAAGGCUUGAGUGCGGCAGAGGGGGAUGGAAUUCCGCGUGUAGCAGUGAAAUGCGUAGAUAUGCGGAGGAACACCGAUGGCGAAGGCAAUCCCCUGGGCCUGCACUGAUGCUCAUGCACGAAAGCGUGGGGAGCAAACAGG
rnacentral:rRNA from 1 species